AUUGAACGCUGGCGGCAGGCCUAACACAUGCAAGUCGAGCGGAUGAAGGGAGCUUGCUCCUGGAUUCAGCGGCGGACGGGUGAGUAAUGCCUAUGAAUCUGCCUGGUAGUGGGGGAUAACGUCCGGAAACGGGCGCUAAUACCGCAUACGUCCUGAGGGAGAAAGUGGGGGAUCUUCGGACCUCACGCUAUCAGAUGAGCCUAGGUCGGAUUAGCUAGUUGGUGUGGUAAAGGCCUACCAAGGCGACGAUCCGUAACUGGUCUGAGAGGAUGAUCAGUCACACUGGAACUGAGACACGGUCCAGACUCCUACGGGAGGCAGCAGUGGGGAAUAUUGGACAAUGGGCGAAAGCCUGAUCCAGCAAUGCCGCGUGUGUGAAGAAGGUCUUCGGAUUGUAAAGCAUUUUAAGUUGGGAGGAAGGGCAGUAAGUUAAUACCUUGCUGUUUUGACGUUACCAAAAGAAUAAGCACCGGCUAACUUCGUG
rnacentral:rRNA from 1 species